AUGAAGGCUCCUGUUCAUCUCCUGGGACUUCUGCUGCUCUGGAUCCCAGGUUCCAAAUGUGACAUCCAGAUGACCCAGUCUCCAUCUCAGACUGCAUCACUAGGAGACACAGUCACCAUCAACUGUCAAGCCAGUCAGAGCAUUGGUAUAGCAUUAUCCUGGUAUCAGCAAAAACCAGGGAACUCUCCUAAGCUCCUGAUCUCUGCUGCAUCCAGUUUGUAUCCUGGGGUCCCAUCCAGGUUCAGUGGCAGUGGGUCUGGGAGAGAUUUUACUCUCACCAUCAGCAGUUUGAAGCCAGAAGAUAUUGGAACUUAUUACUGUCAACAUUACAGCAGUUACCCACCCACAUUUGGAAGAGUCACAAAAUUGGAUUCUCCUGUCCUUAAAUCAUCAAAAGAGGAAAAUUCUGUCCAUCUUGUUUUUCACAUUACAGGAUAA